AGAAAGGCAAAUUCUUCAGCAGACCAACUAAAUCAGAAACUCUGGAGGUGGGGUUCAGCAAUCUGUUUACCAAGCCCUCCAGUGUAUGCUGAGGCAUGCUCAACCUGGAAAACCACCUGGCUAUAGCACACACAUGCUUCAGCCGCACAAUGACCACGCUCCCCUUUCAGCCCAGCUGAGACCCCUGGUGGCACCUGCACGAGAAGACAGAGGCCUGGGACGUGCCAUCGAUAAUUCUCCUGACAUCACAUGCCAGGACGCGUUCAGCACGCAUCUGUCUUAAUCUGAGUGAAACAAGGGAUCUGAACCGUGACUAAGGAAACACGGAAACAAUCAAUCCCAGUAAUUGCCUUUAUGGAGAACAAGGCCCUGCGAUUAUUCAUUAACACCCUCUCUGCUGUCUCCUCUCAAACUUCUCACUCCAUAACCGCUGCCCUUAUAUCCGGGUUCAGGUAGCACCAAGGAGCAGCUGCUCAUCUCAAAUGAAGACGCUGGAGGACUCAGAGCCCCAAAGCAGACAUGAGAACGUGGGGGGAUGCCCUGGCUGAGACCCUCUUAGACACGACAAGCCUUUAGAUGCCUCCCAAAUCAACAUCGCAAAUUCCAACUCCUCUCACAUUUCCAGGUGCCCACUGGCCAUCCCCAACAAAGACCCUACAGGUUCAUCAAACUUGAAAGGUCCAGAAUGAACGCGAAUGUUCUCCCUGACUGUACUGGUACUCUAGAAUUAUCGUAGCCAAUUCCACAAACUGCGUGGCUUAAAACAGCAGCAAUUUAUUCUCUCACAGUUCUGGAGGCCAGAAGCCUGAAACCAAGGUGUUGGCAGAGCCAUACUACCUCUGAAGACUCUGGGAGAGAAUCUGUCCUUGUCUCUUCCAGCUGUUGGUGGCACCGGGAGUGGGUGCAUCACUCCAGUCUCUGCCUCCGUCUUUACAUCCCCUUCUUCCCUCUGGGUCUCUGUGCUCUCUUCUCUUCUUACAAGGACAAAAGUCAUUGGAUUUGGACCCACCCUAAAUCUAGGUAGGUCCACUCCCCCUUCCCUGGAAAACUUCCUGCUGUCAGGUCUUUUUUUUUUUUUUUGGCCAUGGUACUCUCAGCCCGAAAUUUCUUUCCUAAAUCUUACUCAAAGACCAUCUCAAGUACCACUUCGGAAUGAUUAUCCCAUGCAUGCUGGCAGCAUUCUGUUUGUCCCUUUAUCACAGCGCGUAUCUCCUUUGUCACCAUUACCAUUAGCUAUCUGUGUCCCAGGCUCACCAACCAUGUGGUAAGCUCACACUCUAACAGGAGGGUGCCCCCCUAAUACCAGCACCACUAGGAAUGGUGGUCAUCAAAGUCACCCCCCUUCUUCUUUACCCCCCCCCCCCGCUUUACCCAGCUUCUUCAGGUGUUAAAGCAUCUCCUUUAGUUUAGGUUUGCUCAAAUAAUGCUUUCUGUAACUAAGACUUUUGCUUCCACUAGGAAUAUACCAUCUAACCUAGUCAUUCUCAAUGUCAAUGGGGAGACGGGAACCCCACUUUCCAACCCUGGACUUUUUCUCAAAAUAUGCGCUGUUCCCUAAAGAUCCUGAUAAAUGUCCUUGGGUGGAGGGAUUCUAUAUCACCGAGGGAUCUGUCAGGAGUGUGGGGGUGGAAAAAACGUUGGGAACCCUGAUGUAACCACACCUGAACUUGCUCCAAGAAGAGAGACACUAGGGUCGUCAGCCAUUGGCUAAAACAGAAAAAGAUGUCUAAGGGCUGCUGAAGCAUCCCGUGCUCUCUAAGGAACAGUCAUUUGGAAAUGCUGAAUGUCUAAAGUCCCAUUUGGCCCACAGCAUAUGAAGGAAAGACUGAAAAACCCACGGCAGACAGAAUUCUGAGAUGGCCUCCAGAGUCCCAGCCACUGGUGCACACAUCCUGUGUAAUCCUUCCCUUCGGGUGUGAGCAGAACCUGGGGAUAUGAUGGGCUGUCACUCCCCUGGUUGCCCCCCAGAACCUUCAGAGGGAGCACAGCUUUUGAUUGAUAGCAAAAAGACAAGACAGUCAGUCACUCCUGAGAGUGUAUACAAGACUUCACUUUAGAAAAAGCAGAGAUUCUUUUGUUGGCUUUGAAGUUGUGAGAUAGCCACGUGGAUAGGACCCAAGAGAGGUCUACUGGGAACUGAGAGUGACAGCCGGAGAAGAACCAGCUAGAAAACGCGACCUUCGUCCUUCAACCACAAGGAAUGAAUCCUGCCAACCACCAGUGAGCGUGGAAGAGGACCCUGCAUUUCUGGUGAAACUAGAACCUUGGUUGAUGCCUUGAUUUCUACCUGGUGAGUUGCCUGAGCCAAGGACCCAGCUAGCCUGGGUUCCAACUCCUGACCCAUGGAAACUGCAAGAUAACAAACUUGUGUUAUUUUUCUUCUCUUCUCUUUUCUUUUCUUUUUUGAGACAGAGCCUCAUUCUGUUGCCCAGGCUUGAAUGCAGUAUAGCUCAGCUCGCCGCAGCCUUGACCUCCUGGGCUUAAGCAAUCCUCCCGCCUCAGCCUCCUGAACAGCUGGGAUCACAGGCAUGCACCACCACACCCAGCUAAUUUUUUUUACUUUUAGUAGAGAUGAGCUCUCACUGUGUUGCCCAGGUUGGUCUCAAACUCCUGAGCUCAAGCGAUCCUCCAACCUCAGCCUCCUAAAGUGCUGGUAUUAUAGGCAUGAGCCAUUGCACCCAGCCACUUGUGUUGUUUUAAGUUGCUAAAUUUGUGGGAGAUUUGCUACACAGCAAGAGAAAACCAACACAACACUCAGCCUGCUGGCUGCCUUCUUCCAAAUCACCCAUCUGGUUUUCAUCUGAGUAAAGCAUCACCGACUCUGAGGUUCAAGCAAGUGCAAGGGAAGGGGGAAUUGGUGCUUUUUCUGACUUAUUAGUUCCACCUAUGAUGCCACCUGCUUUGUCAAUCAAUGGCCACUGCUUAUUGCCCAGGGUGAUAUUUACUAGUAACUGAUGUCAGCAAGCUUGUCAUUAUCUGGUGUCCAGAUGCAGCAGCAGGCACCUAACCCACAGAGAGGGAGGAUGAUGAUUUAGUAGGAAAAAAAAAAAAAAUACAGAUUUUUGGAGUAAAACAGACUUCAGUUCAAACCGCAGCUUCUUUUCCAACAAACUGUGUGACUUGGGGCAAAUUCACGAUUCCCUCUGAGCUUCAGUUUCCUCAUCUAUCAAAUGGAGACAAUUGCAACCUCAAAGCUGUGGGGUGAGAAUGAAAAGAGAUAACGAAUGUCCAGGGCCAGGCAGCGCCUGGCAGAUGCUGGAGAGAUGUUGGUCCACUCCAUUGUACCCUCCUAGGCAAUGUGGACGAGAAAGCUGAGCUGGGGUCAAAGGCAGAUCCUCCACUAUGAAGAUGCAAGGAUGCAGAGGCUUCCGGAAAGGCAUCCACAGGACACCUGAUGGCUUCUUCCCAUGGCAAGGAAGGCAGCCAAACCACAGAGCAGAUCUGGGCUCUUCCAGACUCACUCUGAAUCCCUGACCUGCUCUGCUGCUGAGGAAAUGUCACCACGUGUCCCAGGCUCCAUCCUUGGCAGCUCCUUCUUCUGGGCAGGUGCCCCUUCCACUGGCCUCUUCUCUGAGCUUUCCCUUGGCCCCCUGCUGACUUCAUGCAGGGAACAAAAACUCUACCAGGAUCUCCGUGAACUCUUUUCUUUCCUAGAUCUAAAGGGUGCACGUCCGCUGGUUCACUCAACCCAAUCGCCAAAACCAAGGCUCAAAGAAGUUAAGAAACAGAAGCAUAAAACAGAAGUUGGGAACCCUUGAGGCCACAGAGAUGACUCUGCUUACAGGCAGAGGGGGAGGCAAAAAAGCACGCCUGUCCCUGGAGCCUGGGGGAAAUCAGUGAGUCAUUUCUGUCCCUCUCCACCUCUUCUUCCUCCUCUGGGCUCACUCCAGGUCUCGAAUCCUCUUUCUCAUGAAAAAUCUUUUCUUUUUUAUCUCUCUCUCCCUCUUCUUGACUAAAGGCACAGCUUGGCAGGGAGAAUAAAGCAGAGAAAGCAUCAUAGAAAAUAUUCACUUAAUUACAUCCAGUGUUUAUUUUGCCCCAACCCCCUAAAAACAGUAGCAGUGUUAGGAAGAAGUCAGGGAGUCAAGGCAGGAGCUCUCCUGUCAUCUCAUCUUUGAUUUUCUAGCUUAGAUCCACGUAAGCCAGAGGAAUCUUAUAGGUGUUGCUGCCAUCUGCUCCCUGCCAUGACCCUCUUCCUUUUAUCUGGUGUCUAAGCAUCUAUAAUUGGCCUUCCAAACCCAACGGAAUCCACCAGGAUGAACCUCUUAUUGAAAAGUGAUAUUCUGGUACCUGUAAAACCUCCAGCACCCAAAACUCAAUGUGCAGAAAAGUGAUGGUGGAACAUUUAAAUGCAGCUACUUGUAGCUUUUGGAAGUGACGGGUGGAUCUGCAGUGGGGAAGAAGAACGCCAGGAAAGACAAGUGAGGUUUCUGGGUCUCUGCAAGAAUAAUUUCCAGACACAAGCCCUCCCAGGUUCAGUGUCGGGAAAUGAAAGCAGCAUAUGCAAAAUGCACGGCAGAACUGAAUUUCCAAUUCACUACAGACAUGCUUUGGAAAACAUGAAAGAGCUAUUUUUGGUCCAGUGAUCGAUUAGGGUUGCUAUGGCAAUAAGAAACACUUACAGGAACAAAAUGAAAUGUAAGCAAACCAAAGUCUUAAAGAGAAAGGGUCAGACACAUUGGGGAUUUCAUAGUCAGUUUCUGGGUGGUGCUGGCAGCCCUUAUUUCUGUCUCAGCACCUGCAUAGGGAGAGAGACGAUAGUGGCUGCAGUGAAUGGGGGCCCUGGGGAUGGGUCUGAGGCUCUCUAGGGCACUGCACUUCAGAAGCAGGAAGUGCGAAACUUCUGGAAGAAUGUACACCGCUCACUUUGAAGACUGUCAUUAUUGUCAUCAAAGGAUACUGUAUUUCCACAGCACCUAGCCUGUGGCAAAAACGUAAGCUAAAAUGUAUUAAUCCUACCCUAUCCCACUUUACAAUGUAAAAGAAAAAUAAAAGUAUUCUCUAUGACAG
rnacentral:lncRNA from 1 species